rnacentral:rRNA from 1 species
UACGGUAGGGGGCGAGCGUUGUCCGGAUUCAUUGGGCGUAAAGAGCUCGUAGGCGGCUGACUAAGUCAGGUGUGAAACCUCCAGCUCAACCUGGAGUCGCCACCUGAUACUGGUCUGGCUAGAGUCCGGUAGGGGACCACGGAAUUCCUGGUGUAGCGGUGAAAUGCGCAGAUAUCAAGGAAGAACACCAACGGCGAAGGCAGCUCGCUGGGACGGUACUGACGCUGAGACGCGAAAGCGUGGGGAGCGAACAGG